rnacentral:ncRNA from 2 species
GCUGUUCGGGGCACGUGGUGGACUGCCGGAGCCAUUACGGCGGUAGGAGAGGAAGCCGGUGCGAAUCCGGCGCGGUCCCGCCACUGUCACCGGGGAAGAACAUCCCGGGAGCCAGGAACUCUCACCGCCGGUCUCGUCGAA